rfam:Hordeum vulgare subsp. vulgare, WGS project CAJW01000000 data, contig: morex_contig_61154
UUACUACUCCCUCUGUCCCAAAAUAUGUGACUCAAAAGUGACUCAACUUUGUACUAAAAUUAGUACAAAAUCGAGUCAUUUUUAAGUCACUUAUUUUGGGACGGAGGGAGUAUUUA